rnacentral:rRNA from 1 species
UACGGGGGGUGCAAGCGUUAUUCGGAAUCAUUGGGCGUAAAGAGCGCGUAGGCGGUCCCUUAAGUCAGAUGUGAAAGCCCAAGGCUCAACCUUGGAAGUGCAUUUGAUACUAGGGGUCUUGAGUAUGGGAGAGGGAAGUGGAAUUCCUGGUGUAGAGGUGAAAUUCGUAGAUAUCAGGAGGAACACCGGUGGCGAAGGCGACUUCCUGGACCAAUACUGACGCUGAGGCGCGAAGGCGUGGGUAGCAAACAGG